GUAUUGCUAUAUAAAACAAAACCAUUCAAUUCUUCGGAGAGAAAAGAUCUCAUAUGUUUGAUAGUAGACUUCGCUUUAUUUAACGAAAUUUCACUUGGUACAAAAGAAAUUAAUUCAUUAGCAGAUCAAGUCAUCAAAAUUUUUCCGUUUGAAGCUAAGGUCUUAAACGAAUUCUAAAGUAAAGCAAGUGGAAAUGGUAGUAGAGCUAGAGGCCAGCUUUAUUCAACCUAUAACAAUAAAAUUAAAACUUUAAGAAAAAAAGGAGUUUUAUCAAGACGCCCCAAACAACAGGUUUCUUCAAUAUCGGGAAAUUCAACUUCAUCAUCACCUUCAUCGCCGUCAUGUUUAUCGGAGUUAGAGAACACUCAAAGCUUAAACGCGAAAGAUUGGCUUAAAUACAAUACACAGCCAUUAGAAUUGGUAUUCAGGUCAGACAUUUUAGAGAAUACCGAAGAUAUUUUUGAAGACUGGCCACUUUUCACCCAAUCUUUUGGACUUCAUUUGAUUGAUUUGGACUUCAUUACUCUUUUUGAUGAAGAAAAGUCUUUAAAUUUAAAGAAAAACUGGGCAAAAUUUCAAACCGCUUUUUUGAAAAGUGCAUUCGAUCAAGCUGGGACCGCAAGUAAG